GGAUGUGGCGCAGCCUGGUAGCGCGCCUGCUUUGGGAGCAGGAUGUCGCAGGUUCGAAUCCUGUCAU
rnacentral:tRNA from 1 species